rnacentral:rRNA from 1 species
GACGAACGCUGGCGGCGUGCUUAACACAUGCAAGUCGAACGGAAAGGCCCUGCUUUUGUGGGGUGCUCGAGUGGCGAACGGGUGAGUAACACGUGAGUAACAUGCCCUUGACUUUGGGAUAACUUCAGGAAACUGGGGCUAAUAUCGGAUAGGAGCUCCUGCUGCAUGGUGGGGGUUGGAAAGUUUCGGCGGUUGGGGAUGGACUCGCGGCUUAUCAGCUUGUUGGUGGGGUAGUGGCUUACCAAGGCUUUGACGGGUAGCCGGCCUGAGAGGGUGACCGGCCACAUUGGGACUGAGAGACGGCCCAGACUCCUACGGGAGGCAGCAGUGGGGAAUAUUGCAGAAUGGGCGGAAGCCUGAUGCAGCAACGCCGCGUGCGGGAUGACGGCCUUCGGGUUGUAAACCGCUUUCGCCUGUGACGAAGCGUGAGUGACGGUAAUGGGUAAAGAAGCACCGGCUAACUACGUG